UACAGAGGUGGCAAGCGUUGUUCGGAAUUACUGGGCGUAAAGGGCGCGUAGGCGGCCUUCUAAGUCAGACGUGAAAUCCCCAGGCUUAACUUGGGAACUGCGUCUGAUACUGGGAGGCUUGAGUGCGGGAGAGGGAUGUGGAAUUCCAGGUGUAGCGGUGAAAUGCGUAGAUAUCUGGAGGAACACCGGUGGCGAAGGCGGCCCACUGGCUCGACACUGACGCUGAGGUGCGAAAGCGUGGGGAGCAAACAGG
rnacentral:rRNA from 1 species